GAGUUUGAUCAUGGCUCAGGACGAACGCUGGCGGCGUGCCUAACACAGCAAGUCGCACGAAUGGUGGAGGGCUUGCUCUUCAUCGUUAGUGGCGGACUGGUGCGUAACACGUGAGUAAUCUGCCCUCGGGUGGGGAAUAGCCAGCCUAACGGCUGGGUAAUACCGCAUGAAGCUCUCGAGUCGCAUGGCUUGGGAGUGAAAGCGGCCGCAAGGUCGCGCCCGAGGAGGAACUCGCGGCCUAUCAGCUUGUUGGUGGGGUCAUGGCCCACCAAGGCGACGACGGGUAGCUGGUCUGAGAGGAUGGCCAGCCACAUUGGGACUGAGAUACGGCCCAGACUCCUACGGGAGGCAGCAGUGGGGAAUAUUGCGCAAUGGCCGCAAGGCUGACGCAGCGACGCCGCGUGUGGGAUGAAGGCCUUCGGGUUGUAAACCACUGUCAGGGGGGAAGAAUACCCGGCUUCGAAUAGGAGACCGAGGGUGACGGUACCCCCAGAGGAAGCACCGGCUAACUCCGUGCCAGCAGCCGCGGUAAUAC
rnacentral:rRNA from 1 species